UGCUUUUGAAUGCUGACCUCUCAUUUAUGUUACUUUCCGAACUGAAUAGCAUCUUAUGCGCAUUAAAAUAGUUUUUAAUAGAUGCUUGAACGAUAAUCAUGUAUGCAUCUUGUUCUCUUCUCCUUUUUGUCAACGCGAAAGCCGGGCUGUUGGAUGCUCCCAUUUGUUGGCCAGGAGUUCUCCUCAGGGCUGCUGGGCCCCAGCAGAGUGCUGGGCUGUGCAUCGGACCCCAGAGAGGUUCAGGAGCUCCUGCUGUUGUUCAACCUCCUCUGGCUUUGGCCGUCCGAGGAGCAACGUGAAGAUUGAAUCCCAGGAUCCACAGUUCAGGAUGAGGUCUGUAAGUCACUAUUUCUCCCUUUGGUUCCAGAGAAGUGAUUCUCUGAAUGGAAGUUAAGGAAUUUGUGACGGUCUUCAGGAAGGUUUGCCUUAGCCAGAUGUUGUAUUUGCAGUGUGAAAACAGGCUGUGUGGGAGAGCCAUGACUUGGAGUGGGGAAGGAGGAAUGUAUCAGGCUUAACACACAGCAUAUGCUCUCCUUGCAGAAUGGAUUGGGUGACUCUGGGUCUGUAUUGACUGCUUAAUCGUAGUGUUUCUAGUCUGGGGGUGGGUACACUGUUAGGUCAUGGUAACAGUGAUGAAUUUGAAGAGGAAGAGUGGCCAUUUAUUCAUCCUACUUUUCUCCCUCUCUCAAAGGAAGAGGAAGCAAUCAGGAUAGAUAGAGAGUUGUGCUUGGAAGCAGUGGAAGAAAGCUGGUAGUAUUCUAGAGAGAUGUGAGGAGCAGAACUCAGGAAAGAGUGUUGGAUUUCAAAGGAGAACAGGUUGAUAAGAGCUGUCAAGCUUGGCCAGGGCAAGCUGUGUGGGUACUGCUGGAUGAUGCUCUCCAGAGACAGAGUGUGGCAUUGGUCAGCCACCUUUCAGCAUCCUCAGUGCAGGGAAUUUCUGUUUAGUUUUGCUGUUUUCUUAAUCCCAAUGGACCAGGAGAUAUCUGGAUGACAACAGUUUCACAGGUUUCUAUGAAGGUCUUACAUCUGUUUUCCCAACACAUAAAAAAAGAUUUGCUCUUAUAUUUCUGCUCGGGGUUUCUGAUGCUCCCCUCUGCUGUCACUGCUUUUACAGAGCAAAAGUAGCCCAAGGAAUUUGGAAGAUGAUGGACACAGUGUGUACUGCAUGCUCCCACUGAGCUUAUGGACAGCCAGAAAAGCUGUAGAUGAAGUGGAAGAGUGAUGGUCUGCUGCCAAGAGCUGCAGCAUUGGAGAAUGUGUCUGUGGCAUUCAUGUGGUCAGAAAGUCAUACCAACUGUCUCCUCCCCAGACUCACAGAUUCUUCUCAGAAAGGGUCAUGUUUUCUGUUUUCCAGGCAUUUAAACACAUAGAAGGCAUUUUCUUGUUUCCUUGCUUUCCACAAUUCUGCAAGCAGAGUUUAUAUAUACAUACAUACAUAUAUAUAUAACCAUUUUUGAACUUACUGCGCUUUCCUUCUACCCCUUGAUCUUUAUUGUUUCAGUAGAUCCCUUUUCAUUCUGUUGUAUGCUGUAUAUUUUUUAGGUUUAGAAGCUGUACUUAAUUCUUAUUUCAGAAGAUGGCUCUUCUCAGAAUGAAAAGCAGAUUGCUAUGAAGGCAAUGAUUUGAUCCUUGUGGUUUGCUGUGAGCCUCGUAGCCUCUAGUGUAAACCUAUUGGAUCUUGUUUAACAGAGAAGCAGAGAAAGUACCACCCAUGCAAAUGCUGCUCAGAAACAUCUACCAGGGAGAAAAAAGCUUCUGAUGAUUUUCUCAUAAGAUACAACUGAAGACCAAAGGUGAAGGAGGAAGACCGUGGCAGAGCUAGGACUAGCUUUCUUCUUUAGAGGGGUGAAUUGGAACGCUGGUCAGCAUGCUGCAGUGACUUGCAGACACGUUCAUCAAAGUCCUUGUACCUAAAUAGGCUAUGGAUGUGAGUAAUGCUUAUUUCUUCUCUGUUAUAAAAUGCUUGAGAUCUGUGGUUGGGAAACCAAGCAUGUAAGUGCAGUCUACUGUUAUUGAUAGGAAUGAGUUUCAGAUGGCACAGCUGAAAAUGUGUCCCCUACUUUUCCUGGGAUGCUCUAUGGAUCAGACUCUAAGCAAAAACCAAGAAACCUGCUUCAGUUGGCACAGAUACUUGAUAUAAUAUGAUGAUUGGUUAGAGAUACUACCUGAUGGUAGUAGGUAAUACAGCUAAAUAUUACUAAAUAAUAGUAAUAAUGUUAAUAAAUCCACUUACAUAAAAGAAAAUAAAUAAGAAAACCCUGAAAUAAUGAUAACAAAAUCUUAAUCUUUUUAUGCUUCCAGAAUGAAGACGAUGUGGUCUCUUGGCACAAGAAUUUAUGAAACAACCCAUAAAGACCCACGGUACAGCAAUCUAAGGAGCAAACUCAAGAUGUUUGAUUGAGCAAUGCGUGUGCAUUUAUUCACACCUGGAAAGAACAGCUUUCUGUGUCAUUACAUGCAGUGUGAGAAUUUCAUGUAUUGAUCUCUGUAUAUACAUCACCUGAGGUUCCUUUAUUCUCUUGGUAAAACUUGCCAGGUGUGAUGCUGUUUGGAGGUCCUUUCUGUACCAGAUGAGGCACUGAGUGUUGAAGCAAGCAUCCCUCCUGGCCUUGUCUCUUCCCAGACCGCCCCACUGAAAUGGCACUUCUAAGGAUGAUUUCAGCAAGUUUCAUCUGUGCACUGGAAGCAGAAACUUGUUGCAUGGAGGCAGCUGAAGAAUUACUUAUUCAUUACCAUGAGCGUCACUGCAGUCUUUACUGUCAAGGACUGCCGGUCACAUUUCCUCACAUCAACUCUGGGACAGAGCUAUGAUUUGUUGUAUUGCUAUUGGCCAUUUUAAGUGAUAGCUACCUGACUAAGCUAGGUAAUAAUUGCCUAUUUGUCACUAUAGGUGCUCACUUUGUGUUAUUUGUGUCUAAUAUACAAUGGCAUUAUGCUCCUAUUGAAUAUUUAUUGAAAAGCACAUCAAAUAUUUGAAGGCCUAUAAAUGUGUUCAUCUUCUGAAUUUAUCAAAGGAUCUCUGUUGACAGUCAUUGGUUUCAGUGCUGUAGUGGUUUCUUGCCUGCUCUAAUGUGGUGUUCUACCUGUUUGUCAGACACUGCUGUUAAGCAAGUAACUGGUGAUAGCUGGAUAUCCUUCCAAGCUUAGGAAGAAGUUAUUGGCUGAAGCUGUUCUCCUUAUUAAUUUGACUCCUCAGAUUUAUGUGUCUGCAAAUGAUUUUCUUCUUAUCUCUGGCAGCUCCAGAAGAUAAUCCAGAAAUUAACUUUUCUUUGUAAAGAACUUCAUAGGAUGUUUUAGGAAAACGUGAAUAAGUAAAUGCUUAGUAGGUAGUUUGAGAUACCCUCAGCUCCUCUGGAUGCAAAGCAUUUACCACUGUGAUCUGACUUCUGUCAGUUCUCCAGGAGUGUUACUAUCUCUGCACAUUCAUCUCCUACUUCUAAAGAGAUCUUUUAGCACACAAAGCAGGAAAUGUAAGAAAACAGACAGGAUUUCCAAAGACAAGUUAGUCAUUUCACUGCAGAGUCUGGCCUUUGUUCCACGUCCAUAACAAGGCAGUGGUCUUUAAAACACGGUUGAAAAUUAGAGGAGAUGGCAUAAACGUUUGGUAAUUGCAGAAAGCCAGGGUAGUUCCUGCGUGGGCUGUUAGUGAGUGGCUGAAAACUGCUGCAGAAUGCAGUCUGUUGCUUGCUUAAUGCACCAUGAGCGUUCUCUGCAUAAGUAUCUUAAUUCACACAUCUAAAGGAACUCAGCCUGGGUUUAGCUGGGUACUUGUUAGCAACUUCUUCAGAAAUAAAGGGGUGGAAACUGUACCAUCAUCUGUGGCUGGAAGGUGAAGAUUUACUUAAAGCACUUUGGCUGAGGGGCAUCGAGAAAUGAGCACUGCUGCUGCCUGCAGGAGAGGACUCCAGCACUGCAGGGACACAGAACCUCAGGGAAGUCAUGCUGAGGAAAUGAUUCAUUUAACCUGCAGCUAUAUCGUUUGUAGAAGGUAAAGGCAAUAGGUGUGAAGAAAUGUUUGCUCAGAUCUGUGCUUUAUAUAGGUUCCAUCCUGGAUAACGUAUAUGAUAAUAUACUGAUAUGAGUAUAUCUCCUCUACAGCAUGCCAUGUUCUGACGUACUUGGGUGGCAUUUAGUGUACAGAUUACUCCUCCAUUCACAGACACGGACUUUCCCUAGGUUAUCCACGUGUUCUGUAUUACGUUUCAGGGCUCACAGUUCAAUCUUUUCAUAAAUAAAACUGUAGCCCUUUCUGGUAGCGAGAGAGGAAGCGAGGAAGAUUCCCUGCCCUUGAGGACCGAGCGUGGCUCUCAGUCCCCAGAAGGCUGGGAUUUUGAGCUGGCUAUUACCAAGUGUAAAAUGAAACACCUGUGUGCAGCAGCAUGCCAAGGCUGAGCCACCUGCAGCACACCUGCUAACUGCCUCACUGCAGUCGGGUCUGGGCAACGUGACAUCAUCUGAUUUCAUAUCUGUAAUUGAACAAAAGGUACGGGUUAUAGCUGAGCUCUUAUCCAAAAAAGAAGAGUUAACGCUGUAAAUACGCGUCUCUGUAAACAGAGAAACUUCUUUCCUGUUCUCAUUGAAUGGCAUGCUGUGAAACCAGAGUUGG
ensembl:lncRNA